rnacentral:rRNA from 1 species
GACGAACGCUGGCGGCGUGCCUAACACAUGCAAGUCGAACGGAGUUAUUUCGACAGAUUCCUUCGGGAUGAAGAUGACUUAACUUAGUGGCGGACGGGUGAGUAACGCGUGAGCAACCUUUCCUUCACUGGGGAAUAACACCGGGAAACUGGUACUAAUACCGCAUGAGACCACAGAGUCGCAUGGCUUAGGGGUCAAAGAUUUAUUGGUGAAGGGUGGGCUCGCGUCUGAUUAGCUAGUUGGUGGGGUAACGGCCUACCAAGGCGACGAUCAGUAGCCGACCUGAGAGGGUGAUCGGCCACAUUGGAACUGAGACACGGUCCAAACUCCUACGGGAGGCAGCAGUGGGGAAUAUUGCACAAUGGGCGAAAGCCUGAUGCAGCAACGCCGCGUGAAGGAAGAAAGGUCUUCGGAUCGUAAACUUCUGUCCUUAGGGAAGAUAAUGACGGUACCUUUGGAGGAAGCCCCGGCUAACUACGUG